CGGCGGACGGGUGAGUAACGCGUGGACAACCUGCCCUAUGCAGGGGGAUAACAUCCGGAAACGGGUGCUAAUACCGCAUAAGCGCACAGUACCGCAUGGUACAGUGUGAAAAGCUGAGGCGGCAUAGGAUGGGUCCGCGUUGGAUUAGGCAGUUGGCGGGGUAACGGCCCACCAAACCGACGAUCCAUAGCCGGCCUGAGAGGGUGGACGGCCACAUUGGGACUGAGACACGGCCCAGACUCCUACGGAAGGCAGCAG
rnacentral:rRNA from 1 species